UUGCACGCUGGCGGCAGGCCUCACACAUGCAAGUCGAACGGUAACAGGAAGAAGCUUGCUUCUUUGCUGACGAGUGGCGGACGGGUGAGUAAUGUCUGGGAAACUGCCUGAUGGAGGGGGAUAACUACUGGAAACGGUAGCUAAUACCGCAUAACGUCGCAAGACCAAAAAGGGGGACCUUCGGGCCUCUUGCCAUCGGAUGUGCCCAGAUGGGAUUAGCUAGUAGGUGGGGUAACGGCUCACCUAGGCGACGAUCCCUAGCUGGUCUGAGAGGAUGACCAGCCACACUGGAACUGAGACACGGUCCAGACUCCUACGGGAGGCAGCAGUGGGGAAUAUUGCACAAUGGGCGCAAGCCUGAUGCAGCCAUGCCGCGUGUAUGAAGAAGGCCUUCGGGUUGUAAAGUACUUUCAGCGGGGAGGAAGGGAGUAAAGUUAAUACCUUGGCUCAUUGACGUUACCCGCAGAAGAAGCACCGGCUAACUCCGUG
rnacentral:rRNA from 1 species